UCGGUAGCUUAAUGGAUAGCGCGUCGAGCUAGCAACCCGGGGCUCGCGGGUUCAAAUCUCCACCUCAGAA